AAUUAAUUAAAAUUUACUUGAUAUUUUUGUAGGAUUUUUGGGAUUUAGAAUUUCAUUAAAUUUUAGUCUAAGAUUAGAAUUUAAAAUUUAGGAUUUCAUUAGAAUUUUUUUAGGAAUUUUUUAAGAUUUAUUUAGGAUUUAAUUAGAAUUUAUUUAAAAUUUAAGAUUUCAUGAAGCUUUGAUUGAAAUUGGUUAAAGAUUUCAUUAGAAUUUAUUGAAAGUUAUAUUAGGAUUCAAUUAGGAUUCAAUUAAAAUUUUUAAUUUUGAUAUUUU
rnacentral:lncRNA from 1 species